AGAGUUUGAUCCUGGCUCAGAUUGAACGCUGGCGGCAGGCCUAACACAUGCAAGUCGAGCGGUAGCACAGAGAGCUUGCUCUCGGGUGACGAGCGGCGGACGGGUGAGUAAUGUCUGGGAAACUGCCUGAUGGAGGGGGAUAACUACUGGAAACGGUAGCUAAUACCGCAUAAUGUCGCAAGACCAAAGUGGGGGACCUUCGGGCCUCAUGCCAUCAGAUGUGCCCAGAUGGGAUUAGCUAGUAGGUGGGGUAACGGCUCACCUAGGCGACGAUCCCUAGCUGGUCUGAGAGGAUGACCAGCCACACUGGAACUGAGACACGGUCCAGACUCCUACGGGAGGCAGCAGUGGGGAAUAUUGCACAAUGGGCGCAAGCCUGAUGCAGCCAUGCCGCGUGUGUGAAGAAGGCCUUCGGGUUGUAAAGCACUUUCAGCGGGGAGGAAGGCGGUGAGGUUAAUAACCUUGGCGAUUGACGUUACCCGCAGAAGAAGCACCGGCUAACUCCGUGCCAGCAGCCGCGGUAAUACGGAGGGUGCAAGCGUUAAUCGGAAUUACUGGGCGUAAAGCGCACGCAGGCGGUCUGUCAAGUCGGAUGUGAAAUCCCCGGGCUCAACCUGGGAACUGCAUUCGAAACUGGCAGGCUAGAGUCUUGUAGAGGGGGGUAGAAUUCCAGGUGUAGCGGUGAAAUGCGUAGAGAUCUGGAGGAAUACCGGUGGCGAAGGCGGCCCCCUGGACAAAGACUGACGCUCAGGUGCGAAAGCGUGGGGAGCAAACAGGAUUAGAUACCCUGGUAGUCCACGCCGUAAACGAUGUCGAUUUGGAGGUUGUGCCCUUGAGGCGUGGCUUCCGGAGCUAACGCGUUAAAUCGACCGCCUGGGGAGUACGGCCGCAAGGUUAAAACUCAAAUGAAUUGACGGGGGCCCGCACAAGCGGUGGAGCAUGUGGUUUAAUUCGAUGCAACGCGAAGAACCUUACCUGGUCUUGACAUCCACAGAACUUUCCAGAGAUGGAUUGGUGCCUUCGGGAACUGUGAGACAGGUGCUGCAUGGCUGUCGUCAGCUCGUGUUGUGAAAUGUUGGGUUAAGUCCCGCAACGAGCGCAACCCUUAUCCUUUGUUGCCAGCGGUUCGGCCGGGAACUCAAAGGAGACUGCCAGUGAUAAACUGGAGGAAGGUGGGGAUGACGUCAAGUCAUCAUGGCCCUUACGACCAGGGCUACACACGUGCUACAAUGGCAUAUACAAAGAGAAGCGACCUCGCGAGAGCAAGCGGACCUCAUAAAGUAUGUCGUAGUCCGGAUUGGAGUCUGCAACUCGACUCCAUGAAGUCGGAAUCGCUAGUAAUCGUAGAUCAGAAUGCUACGGUGAAUACGUUCCCGGGCCUUGUACACACCGCCCGUCACACCAUGGGAGUGGGUUGCA
rnacentral:rRNA from 1 species